CUGGGGUGAUGGGGGACAGUGGAGGUGAUGUGCACGAGGACGCCUGGGGUGAUGGGGGACAGUGGAGGUGAUGUGCAUGAGGACGCCUGGGGUGACAGGGGACAGUGGAGGUGAUGUGCACGAGGACGCCUGGGGUGACGGGGGGCAGUGGAGGUGAUGCUCCAGCAUAAGAACCAGGUCCUCUCGGCCCACCUGCCCUCCUCUCCUUUCCUUCCUGCCAGCAAGCCUUCCCCUCUGCGAGCCCUCCCCUGGGCACCCCUGGCCUCGCUAGCCUCACCCCCAUCUUUCACCUCUUCUGUGACCAUCUCUGCCCAGUCGGUGCUUGAAAAGCAGCCUCUGGGGCCACCUCGGACACCCAGCUCCCUGAGGCACCUCUCAGAGUCAUCGUCCCCAAGCAAAGGGGAACUGGACUGAGAGGCUCCAACCCAGAGGCUCU